rnacentral:rRNA from 1 species
UGGAGGGCGGCAUACAUGGACAAAUCUGGAAGACUCAUGCUUGUGCAAUCCGUUCUUUGUGCAGUGCCGAUUCACAUGAUGAUGGCACUGGAUGUGCCACCCGAGGUCUUGGCGGGCAUGAACAAGAUAUGUCGGGGCUUCUUUUGGGCAGGGAGCUCGGACACCCACGGAGCGAAGUGUGCCGUGACUUGGCGCCCGUCUGCACGCCGAAGUGGACUGGAGGACUAG